rnacentral:rRNA from 1 species
UACAGAGGUGGCAAGCGUUGUUCGGAAUUACUGGGCGUAAAGCGCGCGCAGGCGGCUCUUUAAGUCUACCCGUGAAAUGCCGGAGCUCAACUCCGUGCACGCCGGGGGAUACUGGAGAGCUGGAGACGAGUAGAGGCAAGCGGAAUUCCGGGUGUAGCGGUGGAAUGCGUAGAGAUCCGGAAGAACACCGGAGGCGAAGGCGGCUUGCUGGGCUUGGUCUGACGCUGAGGCGCGAAAGCGUGGGGAGCAAACAGG